rnacentral:rRNA from 1 species
GAUGAACGCUGGCGGCGUGCCUAAUACAUGCAAGUCGAGCGAACGGACGAGAAGCUUGCUUCUCUGAUGUUAGCGGCGGACGGGUGAGUAACACGUGGAUAACCUACCUAUAAGACUGGGAUAACUUCGGGAAACCGGAGCUAAUACCGGAUAAUAUUUUGAACCGCAUGGUUCAAAAGUGAAAGACGGUCUUGCUGUCACUUAUAGAUGGAUCCGCGCUGCAUUAGCUAGUUGGUAAGGUAACGGCUUACCAAGGCAACGAUGCAUAGCCGACCUGAGAGGGUGAUCGGCCACACUGGAACUGAGACCCGGUCCAGACUCCUACGGGAGGCAGCAGUAGGGAAUCUUCCGCAAAGGGCGAAAGCCUGACGGAGCAACGCCGCGUGAGUGAUGAAGGUCUUCGGAUCGUAAAACUCUGUUAUUAGGGAAGAACAUAUGUGUAAGUAACUGUGCACAUCUUGACGGUACCUAAUCAGAAAGCCACGGCUAACUACGUG